ACCCUAGAUAAGCAUCCUAUAAAGUAAACACAAGUACUUGCAGAGACUUUAGAUUAGAGGGCUAGCGACUGCAGAAGAAGAGUAACACGUCAUCUCUGUGCUUCUUUGUC
rnacentral:precursor_RNA from 1 species